CUGCAGUGAUGAUCAGUCUUUGUGGUUUCAUCUACUGAAAUUUCACAAAAUGAAGACACAUUUCCUUGGCUGUCUGAGCAG